rnacentral:lncRNA from 1 species
AUAAUUUUCAUCUGUUUGGAAUGCACCAGAUGUGUUUUAAGCCCUGCAAACACACCGAGAGCUCCAGAGUUUGUAGUGCAGUUUUCUGCAGCACUGAUUUAUUUUAUAUUCCAGUAACCAUGCCCUGGGGUACCAGGUAGGCUCAAUACCAGGAGCAGGAGAAGCAGAAGGUGCUUGGAUAGAGCCCAGCNGUGGCCUCUCUUCGCCGAGGUACUCACGGUCCAUGCUCUGCUGCUGGAGAGGGGUUUUGUACUGGGAAAGCUUAUUUUAUUUUUCCGAAUGAAAAUAAGCUGCCCAGUAUGCCCAUGUACCCGUCAGUAAAACACUUGCUUUGGUAGGGAAUUUAGUACUGAAAAGUAGGGGGUUUAUUUUGUUUUAGCAUGGAUGAGUCUCCAAUGACUUAAUAGUCACAACAAUGUCAGUAUUACAGCCGAAAGGUCUUAAUCGGAUAGAUGUUGAGGCAAAAAAUACACUGAUAUUCCUGUGCUGGCACAUAUCUGCAGCUGGGAAAGAGCAGAGGAACACCACUGUGCAGGUGUUAGCAGAAAAUUUGGGAAGAUCUGUUCUGGUGAAAUAUGGGAUUCAAGUUGAGGAUUGAUUCAUCAGUGGUGCUGUUAACACUGUCAGAAUGGCUCACUCACUCUCCACCCGGCUGGUGUGGCCUCAAAGGCUGCCCCUGCUGAGGGCAGAGUGUGUGAAGCCUCUGCUGAGCAGGCGCUGGCAUCCCCCCAGAACUCCUUCUCACGGCAGGGACGGAGACGGACCCAGCCCAGCACAUGGAAAUGGAUCUCUCCAGCUGAGCGCUCAGGGAGUGCUGAAGCUACCAGGGAGCGUGCUCAGCACGACCCAGGCACCCUCACAUCUCCAGGGCUAGUGAUUCUUGCACCUUCAGAGCCACAGUAUCAGCCAGCUUUCUUUUUCCCCAGGCUGUCAAUCACCUCUCAAGCAGACGAAUACUCCCCUUGGAAGCUGCUGUGCCCUGUGAGCCUGAGAGCCUGGCAGGCACAACCCGGGAGCAGCAGGGAGAGGUGGGUUCGUCGUGGAGGAUCCAGGAGCUCGGUGUGCGUGUCUGAGCCUGCAGCUCCAAGGUGCAGCAGGACCCAAGGUCUGCACACACCCAUGUACAGGUACUCUCAGAAAUGUUGACUGUCCUGACUGAGCCUCUCAGGAGCUGGAGAACAAGAGUAAUUUCCAGCCUUUUCUUUUGUCUCCGUGUCCAGUGUUCAGUCUAAUUACUGCUGGGCCUUUGCCCAUCAUGGUGUGAAAUGCUUCAGGGCAUAAAGGGGAGGAAAGAAAAAAAGAUCAAACAGUGGUCUAAACCUCAGGAGGAAGAAGACAUCUGUCAGGAAACACUCUGAGAGAAAUGGGAUAAAGGAUACUUGUUUACUAAAUCUUUCAUAUCCAU